rnacentral:rRNA from 1 species
UGGGGAAUAUUGGACAAUGGAGGGAACUCUGAUCCAGCAAUUCUGUGUGUGUGAAGAAGGUUUUAGGACUGUAAAACACUUUUAGUAGGGAAGAAAAAAAUGACGGUACCUACAGAAGAAGCAACGGCUAAAUACGUGCCAGCAGCCGCGGUAAUACGUAUGUUGCGAGCGUUAUCCGGAAUUAUUGGGCUUAAAGGGCAUCUAGGCGGUAAGACAAGUUGAAGGUGAAAACCUGUGGCUCAACCAUAGGCUUGCCUACAAAACUGUUGAACUAGAGUACUGGAAAGGUGGGUGGAACUACACGAGUAGAGGUGAAAAUCGUAGAUAUGUGUAGGAAUGCCGAUGAUGAAGAUAACUCACUGGACAGAAACUGACGCUGAAGUGCGAAAGCUAGGGGAGCAAACAGG